GAAGCAAUAGACCAAAUCUAACUGACACAGCCAAAUUGAAGAAGACAGCAAAACAAAACUGAGUAAUAGCAACGGAUUAAAAGAAAAGCAAAUAGAAAGGGGAAUGAGUGGUAGUGAGUGAGAACCUGAAGCAGAAGAAGGAGCGGAGAGGAAGAGGAGGUUAAGAGGGGCGAGACCGGUGAAAGUGGUGAGAAGGGAUUUGGGUUUGGUUCGAGAAAUUCGGAGUUUCAUUGUAGAAGACGAAGAAGAUGAAGAGACAGAGAAGCGCACUGAAGAGGAAAGUGAAGGAGGAGAAGGAGAGGGUAAAGCAGAGCGCAAGGAAGCCAUAGACCACCUGUU
rnacentral:lncRNA from 1 species